rnacentral:rRNA from 1 species
AAAUUGAAGAGUUUGAUCAUGGCUCAGAUUGAACGCUGGCGGCAGGCCUAACACAUGCAAGUCGAACGGUAACAGGAAGCAGCUUGCUGCUUUGCUGACGAGUGGCGGACGGGUGAGUAAUGUCUGGGAAACUGCCUGAUGGAGGGGGAUAACUACUGGAAACGGUGGCUAAUACCGCAUAACGUCGCAAGACCAAAGAGGGGGACCUUCGGGCCUCUUGCCAUCAGAUGUGCCCAGAUGGGAUUAGCUUGUUGGUGAGGUAACGGCUCACCAAGGCGACGAUCCCUAGCUGGUCUGAGAGGAUGACCAGCCACACUGGAACUGAGACA